GCCUGUUAGUACUUGGAUGGGAGACCGCCUUGGAAUACCAGGU
ensembl:rRNA 5S_rRNA 5S ribosomal RNA